rnacentral:rRNA from 1 species
UACGUAGGGUGCGAGCGUUGUCCGGAAUUAUUGGGCGUAAAGAGCUCGUAGGCGGUCUGUCGCGUCGGUCGUGAAAACUUGGGGCUUAACCCUGAGCUUGCGGUCGAUACGGGCAUGACUAGAGUUCGGUAGGGGAGACUGGAAUUCCUGGUGUAGCGGUGAAAUGCGCAGAUAUCAGGAGGAACACCGGUGGCGAAGGCGGGUCUCUGGGCCGAAACUGACGCUGAGGAGCGAAAGCGUGGGGAGCAAACAGG